rnacentral:rRNA from 1 species
UGGGGAAUAUUGCACAAUGGGCGCAAGCCUGAUGCAGCCAUGCCGCGUGUGUGAAGAAGGCCUUCGGGUUGUAAAGCACUUUCAGCGGGGAGGAAGGCGUUAAGGUUAAUAACCUUGGCAAUUGACGUUACCGACAGAAGAAGCACCGGCUAACUCCGUGCCAGCAGCCGCGGUAAUACGGAGGGUGCAAGCGUUAAUCGGAAUUACUGGGCGUAAAGCGCACGCAGGCGGUUGAUUGAGUCAGAUGUGAAAUCCCCGGGCUUAACCCGGGAAUUGCAUCUGAUACUGGUCAGCUAGAGUCUUGUAGAGGGGGGUAGAAUUCCAUGUGUAGCGGUGAAAUGCGUAGAGAUGUGGAGGAAUACCGGUGGCGAAGGCGGCCCCCUGGACAAAGACUGACGCUCAGGUGCGAAAGCGUGGGGAGCAAACAGG